AACGAACGCUGGCGGCAGGCCUAAAACAUGCAAGUCGAGCGGGCAUAGCAAUAUGUCAGCGGCGGACGGGUGAAUAACACGUGGGAACAUGCCCUUUGGUACGGAACAACUCAGGGAAACUUGAGCUAAUACCGUAUGUGCCGGUAACGGGAAGAUUUAUCGCCAAAGGAUUGGCCCGCGUCCGAUUAGCUAGUUGGUGAGGUAAUGGCUCACCAAGGCUCCGAUCGGUAGCGGUUUGAGAGAACGAUCAGCCACACUGGGACUGAGACAC
rnacentral:rRNA from 1 species